rnacentral:lncRNA from 1 species
ACUAAUUGCAGACUUCUUACAGGACUCAUGCAUCUUAAAGGAUACCUCUUGGCUCAAAGAGUUGUGUACAGUUUUAAAAUUAUUUCUUGGACUUUUGGGGAAAGAAUCAUAGAAUAGAGGUUCUGAGAAUGGAGGCAACUCCUCUUCACAUUUAAUAUUGGAUGUUUAAAAUGGUGUUCAACUCAGAAUAUUAACAUGGUUAAACUAAAAUCUUCAAAGCAAUUAUAACAAUAAAAUAAAUCUAAACAGGAAUUAUGUCUUCAUGUAUCUGUGUGUUUCAUAUUCACAUAAAAUGAUAUUGACAAUUUAGGUUUAUUUCAGCUAACAUUAUCUCCUUCUGGGUCAAGUACAAAGAUGCAGUAUGAUUCAUAUGAUUACUCCAAAAACACAACAGCAAUAAAACGAUUUAAAGUCAUUAUCAAAAAGCAAGCAUGACACUAUUUGCAUAUGGCGCUGUGCUAGGCUUUCUGCUCAACUGGGGUUCUUUUGAACAUUGGAAUAGUUGGAAUUCCGUCACUCACCUGGAGAAAUUUCAAUCAGUACAGGAAUUUGCUAUUAGGAAAGCUUUGUUGGCAGUAAUCUUAAUCUGAAGGACUCUGCCCACUGCAUUUAAUUUUGUUUGAUAGUGUAAUAUUAAAGUAAAUCAAAAAUUAUUCAAGAGAAUCAUUAGUUCUUCUUACCCAAAUCUUCAAACCGGAAGGGUGCUACUAGUUUUCUCCCUUGCAGGCCUCUGUGUCGGAUAAUGCAGUCCACCGUUGAAUUUUUGCCAUAAGUGUGGAUUAUGAGAGUGCUGGUAGUAUUACAUUUCUUCCCAUCAGUUUCAAAUUCAUGGAGCGUUCCACCUAUGUAGCAAUUUGAAGAGGUUAUGGCUAUUUAAUGCUACUGGAUGAGGUUGGUUCUAUUAGAGGCCAAUGGCCUUGACUUCAUGGCAAACAUUAGAUUUCUAACCUCAUUCUAACCUCAGCCAGUUCCCUUGUAUAGGCUUGGUUCUGGUCACAAAGGCAAACAGAUGAAUGAGAGUAGAUGAUGGUUUUCUACAAACUUUUCACUACUGGAAAAAAAAAUUCAAAGCUUAAGAAGGACAGCUUGAUGUUGUUAUGAAACACAAAGAUCCAAGACCUUAUUCUGGUUAUAUGAAUAAGGCGAAUUAAAGGGAAGUCUUAUAAUGAAGUAGAAUUGGCACUGCCCUGGGAAUCAGAUCUGGGUUUAGGUCUUUUCUCUCUAGAACUCCAUUUGGCCCUCAGUGUUCUCAACUGUAAAGGGUCCUUUGCAACUCUAAGAAUGUUGAUUACAGGCCGGGCGCAGUGGCUCACGCCUGUAAUCCCAGCACUCUGGGAGGCCGAGGCAGUUGGAACACCUGAGGUCAGGGGUUCGAGACCAGCCUGGCCAACAUGGUGAAACCCUGUCUCUACUAAAAAUACAAAAAUUAGCUGGGUGUUGUGGCAUGCACCUGUAAUCCCAGCUACUCCAGAAGCUGAGGUAGAAGAAUCGUUUCAACCCAGGAGGCAGAGGUUGCAGUGAGUCAAGAUCGUGCCACUGCACUGGGAGACAGAGUGAGACUCCAUCUCAAAAAAAAAAGAUGGUUGAUUACAUAGAUAUCAAAGGUAAUGUCUGUUGAAAUGUAAG